rnacentral:lncRNA from 1 species
UUUCAGUCUGCAGCCGCGACGUCUGAUGUUAGGGACUAGAACUGAGAUCUCUGCUAGACAGGAAAGAAGACAGAGACAUAGGGAAGAUGGCCAUGGGAAGACAGAAGCAGAGAUUGGGGUGAUGUGUCCACAAGCCAAGGAACACCAAGAAUUGCCAGUAGCCACCAGAAGCUGAAAGAGACAAAGGAAGAGUCUUCCUUGGAGUCGUCAGGAGGAGUGUGGCCCUGCUGAUAUGUUGACUUCAGACUUCUAGCCUCCAGGACUGUGAAAGAAUAAAUUUCUGUGGUUGUAAGCCACUAAGUUUGGAUAACUUUUAAUGACAGCCCUGGGAAACUAACACAGGCCCAAUUCUCCCCUCUUUUGUCCUGUGACUCUUACUCUUCAACCUUCUCACUCUUCCCAGAGGGUACCUGAAUACUGUAAUACUGUACCAGACCGAUGGCCACCUGAUAUGGGCUCUGAGCAAGG